UACCCGCAGCACAAGUGGUGGUCAUUAUUAUUGGGCCUAAAGCGUCCGUAGCUGGCCUGUUAGAUGCCUGGGUAAAUCGAUGCGCUCAAUGCAUCGAACUCCGGGUAGACCGGCAGGCUUGGGACCGGGAGAGGCGUGAGCUACUCGAGGGGUAGGGGUAAAAUCCUGUAAUCCUUCGGGGAGGACCAGUGGCGAAGGCGUCACGCUAGAACGGCUCCGACAGUGAGGGACGAAGCCCUGGGGCGCAAACCGG
rnacentral:rRNA from 1 species